rnacentral:rRNA from 1 species
GACGAACGCUGGCGGCGUGCCUAAUACAUGCAAGUCGAGCGGACUUGUAGGAGCUUACUCCUGCAAGUUAGCGGCGGACGGGUGAGUAACACGUGGGCAACCUGCCUGUAAGACUGGGAUAACUUCGGGAAACCGGAGCUAAUACCGGAUGACACUAAGGAACUCCUGUUCCUUAGUUGAAAGUUGGCUUCGGCUAUCACUUACAGAUGGGCCCGCGGCGCAUUAGCUAGUUGGUGAGGUAACGGCUCACCAAGGCGACGAUGCGUAGCCGACCUGAGAGGGUGAUCGGCCACACUGGGACUGAGACACGGCCCAGACUCCUACGGGAGGCAGCAGUAGGGAAUCUUCCGCAAUGGACGAAAGUCUGACGGAGCAACGCCGCGUGAGCGAUGAAGGCCUUCGGGUCGUAAAGCUCUGUUGUUAGGGAAGAACAAGUGCUAGUUAAAUAAGCUGGCACCUUGACGGUACCUAACCAGAAAGCCACGGCUAACUACGUGCCAGCAGCCGCCGCAGUAA